GUAGAGAUACAGCAGCCGCGUUGCGGUCUGUAGUACAGGUGCUGCAUGGCUGUCGUCAGCUCGUGCUGUGAAGUGUGGGUUAAGUCCGCAACGAGCGCAACCCUAUCAUCUGUUGCCAGCAUUUAAGGUGGGGACUCAGAUGAGACUGCCGGUGCAAACCGGAGGAAGUGGGGACGACGUCAAGUCAUCAUGGCCCUUAUGUCCUGGGCUACACACGUGCUACAAUGGCCGGUACAGAGUGAAGCGAAGCCGCGAGGUGAAGCAAAACGCAGAAAGCCGGUCUCAGUACGGAUUGGAGUCUGAAACUCGACUUCAUGAAGUUGGAAUCGCUAGUAAUCGCGCAUCAGCAUGGCGCGGUGAAUACGUUCCCGGGCCUU
rnacentral:rRNA from 1 species